GUGGGGAAUAUUGGACAAUGGGCGCAAGCCUGAUCCAGCCAUGCCGCGUGAGUGAUGAAGGCCCUAGGGUUGUAAAGCUCUUUCACCGAUGAAGAUAAUGACGGUAGUCGGAGAAGAAGCCCCGGCUAACUUCGUGCCAGCAGCCGCGGUAAUACGAAGGGGGCUAGCGUUGUUCGGAAUUACUGGGCGUAAAGCGCACGUAGGCGGAUAUUUAAGUCAGGGGUGAAAUCCCAGAGCUCAACUCUGGAACUGCCUUUGAUACUGGGUAUCUCGAGUAGGGAAGAGGUGAGUGGAAUUCCGAGUGUAGAGGUGAAAUUCGUAGAUAUUCGGAGGAACACCAGUGGCGAAGGCGGCUCACUGGUCCAUUACUGACGCUGAGGUGCGAAAGCGUGGGGAGCAAACAGGAUUAGAAACCCGUGUAGUCC
rnacentral:rRNA from 1 species